AUUGAACGCUGGCGGCAUGCCUUACACAUGCAAGUCGAACGGUAACAGGUCUUCGGAUGCUGACGAGUGGCGAACGGGUGAGUAAUACAUCGGAACGUGCCCGAGAGUGGGGGAUAACGAAGCGAAAGCUUUGCUAAUACCGCAUACGAUCUCAGGAUGAAAGCAGGGGACCGCAAGGCCUUGCGCUCACGGAGCGGCCGAUGGCAGAUUAGGUAGUUGGUGGGAUAAAAGCUUACCAAGCCGACGAUCUGUAGCUGGUCUGAGAGGACGACCAGCCACACUGGGACUGAGACAGGGCCCAGACUCCUACGGGAGGCAGCAGUGGGGAAUUUUGGACAAUGGGCGCAAGCCUGAUCCAGCCAUGCCGCGUGCAGGAUGAAGGCCUUCGGGUUGUAAACUGCUUUUGUACGGAACGAAAAGACUCUGGUUAAUACCUGGGGUCCAUGACGGUACCGUAAGAAUAAGCACCGGCUAACUACGUGCCAGCCGCCGCCGUAAUAC
rnacentral:rRNA from 1 species